rnacentral:lncRNA from 1 species
UUGGAAUAAGGCAACGCGUCUGCUUUCUAACGAACCUCAAAUCAAAUUCUUACUCAACAACAUAGUUCGUGGUACGCAUGUAAGAAGAAACUUCUAAUUAUAUAUAUGGUCAUCAUACUAUAUAAUAUAAACACAUAUGUGGCAUACGAUUGAGUGUUGACAGGCUAAAACCGUUUCAAUGCUUUGACCAAUCAUACAGAUAAGAUCAAUCUCUGAUCCAAAAACCAAAACUAAUAGAGAAACCUAUGACCAAUUUCAUGAUUCUGUCUGAAAAAAACAAGCAUGAGCCAGAAUAAAACAGAGUUGUCUAUAGCUGCCAAGAUCAAUGCUCAAAAGAUAACACUUAUCUCUUAUUUCAUGCUGACAAGUAAAGAUAUUCAGACACCUGUAAAGAGAGAAAUAGAAUGUAAAUUUGAAAGUACCGAUCUGGGAAUCGGUAAAGGCCUUAUCUAAUC